GUAGAUAGUGAAAUAUUCAUGACGUCAACUCGGAGAAUAUAGUCAUGCAUGCAGCCUACUUACCUACAAUUAACGAAACAAUGUUUUAUUUAGAUGGGACGAUGACGUUGUUUUUAAAAAUUGUGCAAAAGGCAUCCCAGAAAAAGGAAAGGUCGGUGUGAAAGAUAUUUAUUUAUUUAUUUAGUACGUAAUGUUUGUUUCAGAAAGUAAUGGGCAUAGUACAUCAAACAAAUAUGAAAUUCUUUUUCUUGGCUAAGUCGUCUACGCCCAUGCACCGCCAUCCAAUUAAAAUACUUGGUUACCUAGUCUCAACUACACACGUAAAAAUAUCACAACUUGUCAACAAGAUGUGUUCUCACACGCUUAUGGCAAGCUUGUCAACAAGUUGUAACAGUGCUGUUAUUUUAUCAAGUUGCUACAGGAUUGUCACUCACAACUUGUUGACAGAUUGUUGAAGUUUUUGUUGAAUUGUUGAAUUAACAGGCUUGUUACAACUUGUGCGUCUUUACGCGUGUAGUCCGUCAUAUAUGUCAAAACAGUGGUAAACAUGCAUGCGGGUGUUUCAAAAACGAACCCCUACGAAAACAAAGACCUAAGAUGUGUCUUCGUUUUGUAAUUGCCAAAACAAUCUUACUGUAGGUCUUCGUUUUCGUAGUUCUUCGUUUUCGAUAAACUUGCGAGUUAUCCAAAAAUGUGAAUUUAGCUGAUGAGGUCUACGCCUGAGUGAGAUUUUAACAGACACAAACAGUGGAGUAUUUCCCUAUCACAUUAUGUGCUUGUUAUAGAUGAUAUUCUUAUUUCACUGUUGUUGUAUUUUAGGAAGGGAAGUUUAUUAACGAUACUUUGAGGUCGGAAUUUCACAAGAAAUUUAUGAACAAAUAUAUAAAGUGAGGUUAUUGGAUCAUGAUGACGCGCUAUACAUACAUAAAUGUACAUUGAAGAUACUUGUCUUUGGGCAAUACUUUGGAGCUUCUGCACAAUACUUUGAGCUACUGUACUGUACAAUAAAUUACAUUAAUGCAUUUUGUAAAUACGCUGGUUGAUAGUAAUUUAGAAAUGUAUCUGAUUUACUGUAAUCUCAGCGGACAGCUAUCACUGACAUGAAAUGAGGAUUGAAAAAAUGUGGUGCAUGAUGGGAAUGAUCAAGGCUCAAAUUUGUUUUCGUCGUUGCACUCCUCAGUCGACUGACCUAGACCUGACGACUGGGUACGAGUCUCCCCUAUUUUUUAUUGAAAGUGCACAGUUAGUUACGAUUCUGACACUUUGGGCGAAUCUACUUCGUUGCAAUGAAUCAGCUUGAAAAAUAUACUGAGUCGAGGUUUCUAACUUUCCAGACGAAGAGCCUUCGCUGAACACUCGCAUUUGGAAAUAAAAACUAGUGCUUGUUGAAUUUUGGGAUUUUUUGCUAUAAUAAGGGCCCUAUAUCCCUCUCUAAAGAGCAUUCACGUGUAGACUAAAUAUUUUUAUAUUUAAAUAUUUUUAUAUUUAAAUAUUUUUAUAUUUAGUCUUCACGAAUCACGAGUCGUGAAAACUUGAAAAAACUCAUUCACGUUUAUGAAAAAAUCGAGGCAAUCACGAUUCGGUAGGAAUAUAAAAAAAUUCACGAAUUUAUAUUACUGCGUAAUAAAAUUAUCAAGUAUACAGAGUACUUGCUGUUUGCUGCGUCGUAAGACACUCAGAUAAACGGAAAACAACAAGAAUUUCGAUCCUAUUCAAUCCUAAAAAUCUACGAAACGAUCACGUUCAUUUCAAUCCUUAAUUCAUUCACGGAUCACGGUGGAACCUCGCUUUCAAGUGCAUGUGAAGAUUUGAUACCAUACGAUCACCAAUCACGGAUUAAAAAAUCAUGGAUCACCCUGUUAGUAACCUCGUUCCCAGGGUUCCUAGGCCUAGCAUAAUAAAGAUUUAAAUUACACAAAACGGAAUUGAGUUUUUCUUGUCCCCAGGCGUCUUAAUUUUCCAUAACCUCAUCAAUCUGGCGAACCCAGAGCCAUCCGUUCCCAGGGUGAGGGUCUUUCUCUUUUCUGAGAAUAUUGAGGGGCCCUAUACUUUUCGCGUGAAGCGUGAUGGAUUUAUUUCUGGUUUGCCGUGAAACAAAGAUCAGAUGAACUGUAAUUGUAAACAUUAGUAGGUAACAGGAUUUGGGGAACUCACGAAAUGUUGAAGGCAAUUUUGAGUGUAUAUUUUAUACAUUUUUACACCUAACCAGGAGCAGUUGUGUGAUUUACACUCGAAAUUGCCAUCUACAAAAAUUAACCCUUCAAGAUAUAGUACCGCAAACCUCUUUUGAAAUAUUACAGAUAGGCCCCGAUUACUUUUGACACUUGUGGUCACAGUGCUGUAAGUAACUUCGUUAAAAGUAACUAAUUACAAGUAAUCGUUACAUUUUUCAGUAACGGUAACGGUAACUUGUUACAUUUUGAGAACAUGUAACUGUAUAACGGUAACUAGUUACAAAAAAUGCCAUAAAAUUGAAACGAUUACAAGUUAUUUUGCCAAAGUUACAAGUUACAUUUUGUUCAUUGCUAUUUGUGUACGUUUUUAAAAUGAAAUAAAUCAAUACACAGUCAGGCAUGCAAGCUCUUAAUCAUCUGCACAGGAAUAAUUUAAUCUGACACAACAGAAUCCGUUCAAGACACAAAUUUAAGUCAAGGAUUGACGUCAAAUUUACGUACAGUUGGAACUGAUCGGAAUGCCGUCGCUCGCCUUCACUUGGG
rnacentral:lncRNA from 1 species